UUGGAGGAAAAGGCUAUACAUGGAGGAA
rnacentral:piRNA from 1 species